AACGAACGCUGGCGGCGUGCCUAAUACAUGCAAGUCGAACGCGAAAGUCCUUCGGGAUGAGUAAAGUGGCGCACGGGUGAGUAAUACAUGGGAACAUGCCCUUGGAUGGGGAAUAACGUUUGGAAACGAACGCUAAUACCGCAUAAUCUCGCGAGAGUAAAGGUGGCGCCGCAAGGGCUACCGUCCAAGGAUUGGCCCAUGUCCCAUUAGCUAGUUGGCGGGGUAAUGGCCCACCAAGGCAACGAUGGGUAACUGGUCUGAGAGGAUGAUCAGUCACACUGGAACUGAGACACGGUCCAGACUCCUACGGGAGGCAGCAGUAGGGAAUAUUGCACAAUGGGGGAAACCCUGAUGCAGCAACGCCGCGUGAGUGAAGAAGGCCCCUGGGUUGUGAAGCUCUUUAGCGUGGGAAGAAGGUAGAUAUGGUGAAUAAUCAUGUUUGCUGACGGUACCACGAGAAUAAGCACCGGCUAAUUUCGUGCCAGCAGCCGCCGCGGUAA
rnacentral:rRNA from 1 species